rnacentral:lncRNA from 13 species
CUGGUUUGUUGUACUGACUUGAUAUUAGGUGGUUUGUCGUACUGACUGAUAUUAGGUGGUUUGUUGUACUGACUGAUAUUAGUUGUUUUUACUAACUGAUAUUAGUUAGUUUGUUGUACUAACUGAUAUGAUUUGUCGUACUGACUGAUAUUAGUUGGUUUGUCGUAUGGACUGAUAUUAGUUGAUUUGUCGUACUGACUGAUAUUAGGGGGUUUGUCGUACUGACUGAAAUUAGUUGGUUUGUCGUACUGACUAAUAUUAGGAGGUUUGUCGUACUGACUGAUAUUAGUUGGUUUGUCGUACUGACUGAUAU